UGGGGGAUAUUGCACAAUGGGCGAAAGCCUGAUGCAGCGACGCCGCGUGGGGGAUGAAGGCCUUCGGGUUGUAAACUUCUUUUGUUCUGAACAAGGCAUGCCUUUGGGGUGUGUUGAGUGUAGGGGUUGAUUAGCGCCGGCUAACUACGUGCCAGCAGCCGCGGUAAUACGUAGGGCGCGAGCGUUGUCCGGAAUUAUUGGGCGUAAAGGGCUUGUAGGUGGCUGGUUGCGUCUGUCGUGAAAGCUCAUGGCUUAACUGUGGGUUUGCGGUGGGUACGGGCUGGCUUGAGUGCAGUAGGGGAGGCUGGAAUUCCUGGUGUAGCGGUGGAAUGCGCAGAUAUCAGGAGGAAUACCGGUGGCGAAGGCGGGUCUCUGGGCUGUUACUGACGCUGAGGAGCGAAAGCGUGGGGAGCGAACAGG
rnacentral:rRNA from 1 species